GGGCCCGCACAAGCGGUGGAGUAUGUGGUUUAAUUCGAUGCAACGCGAAGAACCUUACCAGGGUUUGACAUCCUGCGAAUCUCUUGGAAACGAGAGAGUGCCUUCGGGAACGCAGUGACAGGUGGUGCAUGGCUGUCGUCAGCUCGUGUCGUGAGAUGUUGGGUUAAGUCCCGCAACGAGCGCAACCCACGUCUUUAGUUGCCAGCAUUUAGUUGGGCACUCUAGAGAGACCGCCGGUGACAAACCGGAGGAAGGUGUGGAUGACGUCAAGUCAUCAUGCCCCUUACGUCCUGGGCUACACACGUACUACAAUGCUACGGACAAAGGGCAGCAAGUUCGCGAGGACAAG
rnacentral:rRNA from 1 species